CCAGAUUAGCGGAGACCCUGGGCUCCAGCCACACUCUCUGUAGCAGCUUUCAGAGUCCUUUUCCUUUGUCCCUUCUCUGUCAUCCUAGCACUGAGAGAGCUGGGCAGGCCCAGGUUCUUAGCCCCAUUCUAGGAAUGCAGCCACCCAGGCUCAGAGAGCCUCAACAGCCUGCCCUAGGUGGCAGUACCCAGAUUCCAUCCCGUUUCCUGACUCAAUUCCACUGCUGCCUCUGUGCUACCACAAAUAGCAAGACUUGUCUUAGCUAUGCCCGAGUGCUGGAGUGUGCAGCUGACUGCUGGGAAGAACCAGCUUGGACCCUUUGGAGAGGGGCUCUGUCCCUGCCCCUGUCUGCCCUCGGGACAUAUACCAGCUCACGUCUGUGCCCCACAGGCUUGCCCACAGGUGACGUUCCCAUGGAUGGCAUGUCCGUGUCUGACCUGGGUCCUGUGGUGCUCAGCCUUUUGAAGAUGCCAGAAAAAUACGUCGGCCAGAACAUCGGGCUGAGCACUUGCAGGCACACGGCCGAGGAGUACGCUGCCCUGCUCACCAAGCACACCCGCAAGGUCGUGCACGAUGCCAAGAUGACUCCUGAGGACUACGAAAAGCUUGGCUUUCCCGGUGCCCGGGACCUGGCCAACAUGUUCCGUUUCUAUGCCCUGAGACCCGACCGUGACAUCGAGCUGACCCUGAGACUCAACCCCAAGGCCCUGACGCUGGACCAGUGGCUGGAACAGCACAAAGGGGACUUCACCCUGC
rnacentral:sRNA from 1 species